GACGGAGGAUGCAAGCGUUAUCCGGAAUGAUUGGGCGUAAAGCGUCCGCAGGUGGCAGUUCAAGUCUGCUGUCAAAGACCGGGGCUUAACUUCGGAAAGGCAGUGGAAACUGAACAGCUAGAGUAUGGUAGGGGCAGAUGGAAUUCCGGGUGUAGCGGUGGAAUGCGUAGAGAUCCGGAAGAACACCAGUGGCGAAGGCGGUCUGCUGGGCAGUGGGAGCUUCGGCUCUCUUUAGCCGACACUGAGGCGCGACAGCGUGGGGAGCAACAGG
rnacentral:rRNA from 1 species